GGAGAGGUGUCCGAGCGGUUGAAGGAGCUAGUCUCGAAAACUAGUAGUGGGUUCGCCUACUCGUGAGUUCGAAUCUCACCCUCUCCG
rnacentral:tRNA from 1 species